rnacentral:rRNA from 1 species
UGGGUAACCCACCUCGAUGAUUGGGACAACCCGGGGAAACUCGGGCUAAUACCAAAUGUGCUUGUAGACCAUGAGGUCCAUGAGUAAAGAUAGCUUCGGCCUUCGCAUCGAGACGGGCCCGCGGCCCAUUAGCUUGUUGGUGAGGUAACGGCUCACCAAGGCGACGAUGGGUAGCUGGUCUGAGAGGACGAUCAGCCACACUGGGACUGAGACACGGUCCAGCUCCUAGGAG